rnacentral:rRNA from 1 species
CAAAGUUGUGUAGUGCGAUCGGUGGAUGCCUUGGCACCAAGAGCCGAUGAAGGACGUUGUGACCUGCGAUAAGCCCUGGGGAGUUGGUGAGCGAGCUGUGAUCCGGGGGUGUCCGAAUGGGGAAACCUGGAAUGUCCGGAGUAGUGUCCGGUGGCCCUGCCCUGAAUGUAUAGGGGUGUGGGUGGUAACGCGGGGAAGUGAAACAUCUUAGUACCCGUAGGAAGAGAAAACAAGUGUGAUUCCGUGAGUAGUGGCGAGCGAAAGCGGAGGAGGCUAAACCGUGUGUGUGUUCAAGCCGGCAGGUGUUGCAUGUGCGGGGUUGUGGGGGCCUUGUGGUUCUGCUGCCGCAGGAUUGGCCAGUGAGAAAUGUUGCGUGAAGGUGAAGCGUCUGGGAAGGCGUACCGGAGUGGGUGAGAGUCCUGUAACUGUAAGCGUGGCACUGGUGUGGGGUUGCCCCGAGUAGCGUGGGACUCGUGGAAUUUCGCGUGAAUCUGGCGGGACCACCCGUCAAGCCUAAAUACUCCUUGGUGACCGAUAGUGGAUGAGUACCGUGAGGGAAGGGUGAAAAGUACCCCGGGAGGGGAGUGAAAGAGUUCCUGAAACCGGUCGCAUGCAAGCCGUCAGAGCCUGUGUGGUGAUGGCGUGCCUUUUGAAGAAUGAGCCUGCGAGUUAGUGAUGCGUGGCGAGGUUAACCCGUGGUGGGGGAGUCGUAGCGAAAGCGAGUCCGAUAAGGGCGUGAGUCGCGUGUUCUAGACCCGAAGCGGUGUGAUCUAUCCAUGGCCAGGAUGAAGCGUCGGUAAGACGUCGUGGAGGUCCGAACCCACUUCAGUUGAAAAUGGAGGGGAUGAGUUGUGGAUAGGGGUGAAAGGCCAAUCAAACACCGUGAUAGCUGGUUCUCCCCGAAAUGCAUUUAGGUGCAGCGUUGCGUGGUUCUUGUUGGAGGUAGAGCACUGGAUGGUCUAGGGGGCUUAUCGGCUUACCGAAAUCAGCCAAACUCCGAAUGCUGGCAAGUGUAGCGUGGCAGUGAGACGGCGGGGGAUAAGCUUCGUCGUCGAGAGGGAAACAGCCCAGAUCAUCAGCUAAGGCCCCUAAGUGGUGACUCAGUGGGAAAGGAUGUGGAGUUGCGUAGACAACCAGGAGGUUGGCUUGGAAGCAGCCAUCCUUGAAAGAGUGCGUAAUAGCUCACUGGUCAAGUGAUUCCGCGCCGAUAAUGUAGCGGGGCUUAAGUUAUCCGCCGAAGCUGUGGCAACCUGUGUGGUUGGGUAGGGGAGCGUCGUGUCAGUGGUGAAGCUGCCGGGUGACUGUGUGGUGGAGUUGAUGCGAGUGAGAAUGCAGGCAUGAGUAGCGUGUGACGGGUGGGAAUCCCGUCCGCCGAUUAUCCAAGGGUUCCAGGGUCAAGUUUGUCUGCCCUGGGUGAGUCGGGUCCUAAGGCGAGGCCGACAGGCGUAGUCGAUGGGUAACCAGUUGAUAUUCUGGUACCGGCUUGUCACCGUCCGUGUCGAGGUGUGUGAUGCUAAGCAUGUGAGCUUGUCUUGGGAGUGUUUUUGAUGCUUCUGGGGUGGGUGAGUGUGUGAACCGAUCAUGUAGUAGGCAAGCUGCGGAGGGACGCAGUGAGGUAGCUCAUCCCCGGUGAUGGUUGUCCGGGGCUAAGUGUGUGGACUGUCUGGUAGGUAAAUCCGCUGGGCGUGAAGGUUGAGGCAUGAUGGGGAGCCCAUGGUUGUGGGUGAGUGAGUGAUCCUGUACUGUCGAGAAAAGCUUCGUGAGCGAGGUGGCGGGUCCGCCCGUACCCUAAACCGACACUGGUGGAUAGGUAGAGUAUACCGAGGCGAUCGAGUGAAUCGUGGUGAAGGAACUCGGCAAAAUGCCCCCGUAACUUUGGGAUAAGGGGGACCUGAGCUGUCGUGCACCCGUGCGGUGUGGUGGCGGUGAGGGGCGCAGAGUCCAGGGGGAAACGACUGUUUACCAAAAACACAGGUCCGUGCGAAGUCGUAAGACGAUGUAUACGGACUGACUCCUGCCCGGUGCUGGAAGGUUAAGGGGAACUGUGAGUGUAUGCGUAGCGGUGAACUUAAGCCCCAGUAAACGGCGGUGGUAACUAUAACCAUCCUAAGGUAGCGAAAUUCCUUGUCGGGUAAGUUCCGACCUGCACGAAUGGAGUAACGAUUUCCCUACUGUCUCCACCAUGAACUCGGUGAAAUUGCAUUACGAGU